UGAGUUUUCUGGUGUCACAUUAUUGCUUUGCGUGUCAGAGUAUGUACAGGAAGAUCUAGCGUGUGUCUACAUUGCAGUCAUGGAGUGAAGCUUUAAAUAGAAGAUAGCUUUACACUAACUGUACAAAAUACUAUGGCAGGUACUCUGCACAGCUGGGGGCUGUGCUGCUGCAGGCCUCUGUGCCCGACAUGGGAGAUCCGCUUCAGUCGACAGGAUGUGCUACCUCACCUGCACUUCUUGCAGGUCUGGCUCUGCUGCUGUGCAGGCAGCAGGCUGGGUAUCGGAGGAUCUGACUGAUGAUCAAGCUGUGAUUCAGACCUCCAAGCCAGAGAAAACACACAAGAGUGCUGUAGAAGGUCUUUCUCUGCUAAGGGGGAUUUUUGGACCAGUGAAUGCACUUCUUUUUCCUGUUUCUUUUCUUUUUCUUAUUAGUAAAGCAACAGUCAAAAAGCCUAUGUCUGUAUACUUUUGCCAAACACACAAAUGUUUGGCCAGUUUGCGACUGGAUAACAUCCUGGGCUUGUGUCUUAGCUCCCAGCUUGGUGAUAAUAUCCUCCCUUAGCAAAGGAUUUUACAAGCAGAUGCACAUAUCAAAAUCAGUUCACCAACAUAACUGCAGUUUGAAUCCCCAUUUGCCAAAACCACAAUCCUGGGAAUGCAUUUUAAGGAUACAGCUUCUGUGAAAUUAUUUAUGCAAGGAAAUACUUUAUUUUUGCAUCAGGACCAAAAUAAGAUUUUUUUCAUAGGCCAGAAAUCCUUUGAAGUACUUUUUUCCCCCUUUAAUUCUCAUUAGUUUAAUUAAUUGUUGCUCUGUUUUGAAAUUAAAGAGAACAAAUUGUUCUCCUGGUACUGAAGGGGCACAAGAAAAUUAUUGCAAACACUGUGUUUUUACCUGAGUUUUUAUUGUAUUUCUCCUGAAUGGAAACCCAGGAAAAAGGGAGUUAAAUUGUUCAUGGAAAAAAAAGGUAUUAUAUUAAAGCCAGAAAUAUAUUCAUGUGGUGAUUUCUUGUGGAUGCAUAUAGCAUUGCAAUGUUCUGAUAAUGGAAACAAUUUGUUUUAGAAACAGUAUAAAGGUUGCUAAUUUCCAAAUAAUGAGAAAUGGUCUGCUUGACAGGUUUUUCUUUAUGGUAUUUAUACCGCAAGCAUAGUAGCAAAUACCAGGAGCAGAGGCAAAGCCAAGCAGGCUUUCCAACAGCUGCUGCGACCCCUGCUGUAUUGCUGCCAAAGCUGGUGUGACGGGACAAGGAGAAGGACACAGGCUUUUAAGUGCCCCA
rnacentral:lncRNA from 1 species